CCUACGGGAGGCAGCAGUGAGGAAUAUUGGUCAAUGGGCGCGAGCCUGAACCAGCGAAGUCGCGUGGGUGAAGGAGCGUUUCGGCGCGUAAAGCCCUAUCGGCAGGGAAGAAGGAGGACGGUACCUGACUAAGAAGCCCCGGCUAACUACGUGCCAGCAGCAGCGGUAAAAAGUAGGGGGCAAGCGUUAUCCGUAUUUACGGGGCGUAAAGGGGGCGGAGGCGGCAGGGCAAGCCCGGAGUGAAAGCCCGGGUCUCAACGCGGGGACUGCUCUUGGAACUGGGAGGCUGGAGUGCAGGAGGGGAAGGCGGAAUUCCAGGUGUAGGGGUGAAAUGCGUAGAUAUCAGGAGGAACACCGGUGGCGAAGGCG
rnacentral:rRNA from 1 species